CGUACACUGGAAAGGACCUUAAGGCAUACAAGAGUCUGGAUGCCUACAAGUAUUUUACAGCAGGUUUUGUGCAUGAUGGGCUGAUAUGGCAGAUUCCAAACAAGAAUCGAUUUCUUCUCAUGACCAAGGUAAAACACUCUCAACGGAUGAAUGAUCCUCCCCUCAGACCUUGGGUAGCAAUAGCGAAAGAUGGUCAGAUCCUGUGCUGCCACUGUACCUGCAUGGCUGGAUUGGGUGAAACAUGUUCACAUUCAGCAGCAUCCCUGUUCGCCCUGGAGACAUUAAUACGUAUGAAGACGGCCACUUCAUGCACAUCACUACCUUGUCAGUGGCUGAAACCAUCAGCAUCGCACAUAGAAUAUGCUGAAGGAUGCAAUAUCGAUUUUGCUCGUCCAGCCCAGAAACGAAAGUCAGAAGUUUCAACUCCUGAGGAAAGUGCUGCGAGAAAACUGCUGAAUGUUCCUCCACCAACUGAAGAGCAGAAAGCUGCCUUUUACAAGGCUUUGUCUGAAUGCGGUGGAAGACCAGCAAUUUUGAGCAUUGUCCUUGACUAUGCUGACAACUUUGUGCCAAGGGCAGUGAAGCGAAAGCUUCCUGUACCUCUCUCACAGCUGUACAUGUACAGCGUUUCAAACUGUCCUUCAGUUCAUCAAGUUCUGCACGCAGAUUUUUACACUCUGCAGUGAGGGAAUCCAUUGCUUCCCCAGUGAUAUCCGUCUGUGUGGCAGUAGUCACCAUGCCUUCUUUUCGAAUCUCAGCGUGCACCACAUCUUCACCAGCGGGUAGUUGAUCAUUUUCACAAGGGACAGACUGGGAAAUAUUGACAAGUGCUGCUGCUGCUGCCAAUGCCCUCUCGCGGUCUCUCUUGCGCUGCUUGAGAUUUUGUCUUCUCUCAAAGAUCUUCAUUGAACAUUUGAGUUUUCGUUUGUGAGGUGACUGGGUAUGCUCAAAUAUACUUGGCACAUAGUCUGGGGAUAGUGGAUCUUCGCUUUUUGCACCUGAAACAAUUAAACAAUCACAUUAUUCAUAAUGACUACCAUAAAUAAUUAAGCACGUUGUUGAAGGGGAUAUACCCAGUUCAAUUUGUUUCGUAAUGGCAUUUCAUAACUUGACAUAUUAAAAAACUGAAUAGAGUGAAAUCAUUCA